GCCGAAGUGAUCCAAUCUGGUAGAGGUGAUCGCCUCAAAAGCGAUUUGUUGUGGGUUCGAAUCCCACCUUCGGUA
rnacentral:tRNA from 1 species